GAUGAACGCUGGCGGCGUGCCUAAUACAUGCCAGUCGAACACUGAAGGAGGAGCUUGCUCUUCUGGAUGAGUUGCGAACGGGUGAGUAACGCGUAGGUAACCUGCCUGGUAGCGGGGGAUAACUAUUGGAAACGAUAGCUAAUACCGCAUGACAACAGUUAUUGCAUGAUAACUGUUUAAAAGGGGCAACUGCUCCACUACCAGAUGGACCUGCGUUGUAUUAGCUAGUUGGUGAGGUAACGGCUCACCAAGGCGACGAUACAUAGCCGACCUGAGAGGGUGAUCGGCCACACUGGGACUGAGACACGGCCCAGACUCCUACGGGAGGCAGCAGUAGGGAAUCAUCGGCAAUGGACGGAAGUCUGACCGAGCAACGCCGCGUGAGUGAAGAAGGGUUUCGGAUCGUAAAGCUCUGUUGUAAGAGAAGAACGAGAGUGAGAGUGGAAAGUUCACACUGUGACGGUAGCUUACCAGAAAGGGACGGCUAACUACGUG
rnacentral:rRNA from 1 species